ACUCAAUCAUGUGCAGAGGGGAAUAGCAGGUUGUGCGUCUCUGUCAGAGACUACUACUGUUACAUGUUGCAGACACGGCCUGCGAUCUUCAAUACCAUACUCUGUGGAGCACGCCUGCUGCAGCAAUGGGCGGUCGACAUGUACGUCAAGAUUGAAAGUUGUCGGUUGAGGUGGUACAGGAAGAACCAGACGCAGAUUCGUGCCGACUUGUAUAAAGGAGUUGUUGAUGCGAUUACAUCGGGUGAGACACGAGCAAGCGCUGUUGGGGUAAGAAUAGUG
rnacentral:rRNA from 1 species